rnacentral:lncRNA from 1 species
UAAAUUUUAAUAGAAUUGAGUGAGUUGUAUAAUCUCACUAAGAACAAUAAAGUUGCAGUUGAAAAGGAGUGAAAUUCAAUCAAAGUGCAUGAUAAUUUAUAAAAAAGAAACUAUUUUAAUUUAAUUUUUUUAAAAAAAUAUAUAAUUUACCCUUCAUGUUGUUUCCAAGUUAGUCUUUUUGCUUUUCUCAAAAAUAUAUGAGGUUCUGAGUCCUGUGCCUCAAGCUGACGAUUGAAGACUCGAGAAGAAGAAAACCUUCUCACUACCCACCCUGCCUGUCUUGCUCGCUGCAAUAUCUGUAUACUCGGCCUUUCACUCCUCUGAACAAAUAAUCUCCGGCCAGUGCCGUCCAACGUCAGCGUUCCAGCAUCGCCUUGUUCAAGCCUCCCUAGCUGCAGCCGCUGUGUACUGCCAUCGAUUUUGGCAAAGUUCAUCGGCUACGUCUCA